AGAAGCUCAAGAGGCAGCAAGAUGGUGGGCAGUCCCACUCCUCCUCUUGCUCCUGUGUGUCACAGCCUCCAAGGGAAAGAUCCUGCUCACCCAGUCAGCAGAGUCCCUUCACAUUUCUCCAGGAGAGAGAGUCUCAAUCACCUGCAGGGCCAGUCAGAGCCUCCUCUACACAGAUGGAAAGCACUACUUGUCAUGGUACCA